GCCGAACAUGUGCAGGAUAGGUGGUGGGCUUUGAAACCGAGACGCCAGUCUCGGUGGAGCCUCCCUUGAGAUACCACCCUUGUUCUGCUUGAUGUCUAACCGCGGACCGUUAUCCGGUUCCGGGACCUGUGUGGCGGGUAGUUUGACUGGGGCGGUCGCUCCUAAAUCGUAACGGAGGCGCGCGAAGGUUGGCUCAGAGCGGUCGGAAAUCGCUCGUUGAGUGCAAUGGCAGAAGCCAGCCUGCUU
rnacentral:rRNA from 1 species